ACUUUAUAGUUAACCCAAUACACCCGAUUAAUUAUAAUCCCCCCCCAAAACGAUUUUUAAAAAUUAACCAAAACAUUUAUUAUUCUUAGUAUAGGAGAUAGAAAAG
rnacentral:rRNA from 1 species